UACGGAAGGCAGCAGUGGGGAAUAUUGCACAAUGGGCGCAAGCCUGAUGCAGCCAUGCCGCGUGUAUGAAGAAGGCCUUCGGGUUGUAAAGUACUUUCAGUCGUGAGGAAGGUGUUAAGGUUAAUAACCUUAGCAAUUGACGUUAGCGACAGAAGAAGCACCGGCUAACUCCGUGCCAGCAGCCGCGGUAAUACGGAGGGUGCGAGCGUUAAUCGGAAUUACUGGGCGUAAAGGGCACGCAGGCGGUUAAUUAAGUUGGAUGUGAAAUCCCCGGGCUUAACCUGGGAAUGGCAUUCAAGACUGGUUAGCUAGAGUCUUGUAGAGGGGGUAGAAUUCCAUGGUGUAGCGGUGAAAUGCGUAGAGAUGUGGAGGAAUACCGGUGGCGAAGGCGGCCCCUGGACAAAGACUGACGCUCAUGUGCGAAAGCGUGGGGAGCAAAC
rnacentral:rRNA from 1 species